rnacentral:tRNA from 1 species
GCGGGCGUAGUUCAGAGGUAGAACAUCAGCUUCCCAAGCUGAGUGUCGUGGGUUCGAUUCCCAUCGCCCGCU